AUAUAAUAUUGCUGCAGCAGGCUCCACGAAUAUAUAUAUAGACAAAGGGUUUAUAAACAUAUAAUAUAUAAAUUAAAAAGAAAACUAUUAUCUUUGUUGUGAUAUAUAUAUAUAUAUAACUAGGUCAUAGCUUGUGCAAAACACGUUUGCUUAAUUGAGUUAAAUAGGUUUUUUACAAAAAUAAUAUGUUAUUUAAAAAAAAACUUGAUUAAUGAAUAAUUUAAUGCAUAGAGAUAAAAAAACAAAUUUCAGCAAAUAUCUUUUGAUAAUGAUAGAUCAGUAAACAUAAUAAUUAUAUCUUUAGAUAUAUUAGAAAAGAAAAAUAUUAGUUCAAAAUUAAAGUCAAGAUACAUUAGAAUAACAUAGGCAAAUAAAAAUAGCAUUAUUGCCACCACAAUAAAUACUGCCAAUGCACUAAAAAAAGACAAAAAAAUUGAAUUUUAUUUUUUUAUAAAUUUUGUUCAGAUCUGAUGUCUUUCUUUGUGUUUUUUUUUUUAAUUUUUUUUUAUACUUGUUGUUCUUUAUUGCUUUUUCUUUUUCUACAAAUCUAAACAUUUAUACUCAGAUUUAAAUUUGAGUGUUUGGUGAAAAUGUAUAAGAGGGUAGAUAUGAGGGAGUAGGUAGAGAGGUAGACAUCCUACUUCCUAUCUUGAGGGGGGUAGGUAGAGAGGUGUUUUAGGAAUACUCCCUAUCUUCUUCUUCUUCUUCUCUUCUUUUCCCACGGCCAACUCUAUUUUAGACAAAGAUGGUUCUUCUCCCAUUCCCAUUCAGCUUCCAAAUAACUUCUCCAACAUAGUCUUUGUCAAGCUGACCUCCGACAACCAUCUCCUUUGGUAAUUCCAAAUUGUCUCAUGCCUUUACGGUCCAGAUCUUUACCAUUUCAUCGAUGGCUCCUUUCCGCCUCCACCCCCUAUAAUCCCUCCAUCUCCAUCUUCCACUCUAGGUAUUCCCUCUGUCCCCAAACCCAGUCCAGCCUAUCUUCAAUGGCGCAAUACCAAUCAACUUUUACUUAGUGCUCUUCUUUCCUCCCUUAUCAAACCCAUCCUUGCUCAAGCUGUCUCUUCUUGAACAUCCUGUGAACUAUGACUUUCUUUAGAAACCAUGUUCACUUCUCAAUCAAAAGCAAAAAUAUUUCAGAUUUGUCACCUGCUCACAAAUCUCAAAAAGGGCUCCCUCUCUGUAAUAGAUUACUAUUAGAAGGUUCAUCUCCUCUCCAACACCAUGACUGCUGCCAAUGAACCACUUAGUGACUUUGAGGUGGUCUCGCACCUCCUAAAUGGCCUAACCUCUGACUUUGAUUCCUUUAUUACCUUUGUGUCUACUAGAGUUACACCUAUUAGUUCUGCUGAACUAUUCAAUCUUCUUCUUACCUCUGAGAGCCAGCAUCACCUAACAUAGCCUAGCAAGGCCUUCCCCCAACCCCCACUAUCAAAGUCACCAUUCAGUCUUACUCUAAGGGUGGUAAAUCAAAUUUCGAGGAGGACGUAACCCCUCUACUGGCGGUAGAACUCCUUCUACUUUCUCUUCAUCUUCUUCAACCUUCAACUGAUCAACUUGUCAAGUCUGUAAUAAGACUGGUCACAUUAUUCUCCAUGUUACUAUCGCUUCAACCAAGCCUAUCAAUACAAUCCCUCCAAACCUCCCUUAGAUAAUUUCACCUCUUCUUAGUCUUCUUCUAAGACUCAGUGGUAUCCUGAUUCUGCUGCUAUCAAUCACAUAACCUCGGAGCUCCAAAAUCUUCAUCUCUCCUCCGAACCAUACCAUGGACCCGAGCAAAUAACAGUUGGAGAUGGUAACACUCUUCUGAUAACUCAUAUUGGUGAUUCUCGAUUUUUCUUUCUUCCUCUAAUUUUCUUCUUCACAAUUUGUUGCGUGUUCCUCAGGACAAGCAAACAGGGACUCUUCUCAUCCAGGGACCAACGCAUAAUGGCCUUUAUCUUUUCCCAUCUCCAGACACCAUCACUCCAUCCCCUGCGGCUCAUGAUGGUAAAAGAAAUUCCCUUGCUCAAUGGCAUCACGUACUUGGUCAUCCAUCCCUUCGACUUGUCUCCCAGAUUAUUCGCACCAAAUGUCUACUUUUUGUUCCUACUAAAUCCUCUUUUUAUUGCUCUAUUUUCCCUUGGCAAAUGUAGAUAGCUUUCUUUUAAUAUUAAUACAACUUGCUCUUCUAGUCCAUUGCA